rnacentral:rRNA from 1 species
UACGUAGGAUGCAAGCGUUGUCCGGAUUUAUUGGGCGUAAAGAGUUCGUAGGCGGUUUGUUAAGUCUGAUGUUAAAGCCUGGGGCUCAACCUCGGAAAUGCAUUGGAUACUGGCAGACUUGAGUGUGGUAGAGGCAAUCGGAAUUCCAGGUGUAGCGGUGAAAUGCGUAGAUAUCUGGAAGAACACCGGUGGCGCAAGCGGAUUGCUGGGCCAUAACUGACACUGAGGAACGAAAGCUAGGGGAGCAAAUGGG